GACGAACGCUGGCGGCGUGCUUAACACAUGCAAGUCGAACGGAAAGGCCCCUUUGGGGGUACUCGAGUGGCGAACGGGUGCGUAACACGUGCGUAACCUGCCCUUGCCUUCGGGAUAACUUCAGGAAACUGGGGCUAAUACCGGAUAGGAAUCCUUGCUGCAUGGUGGGGGUUGGAAAGCUUCGGCGGUUUUGGAUGGACUCGCGGCUUAUCAGCUUGUUGGUGGGGUAGUGGCUUACCAAGGCUUUGACGGGUAGCCGGCCUGAGAGGGCGACCGGCCACAUUGGGACUGAGAUGCGGCCCAGACUCCUACGGGAGGCAGCAGUGGGGAAUAUUGCACAAUGGGCGGAAGCCUGAUGCAGCAACGCCGCGUGCGGGAUGACGGCCUUCGGGUUGUAAACCGCUUUCAGCAGGGGCGAAGCUUUUGUGACGGUACCUGCAGAAGAAGCACCGGCUAACUACGUG
rnacentral:rRNA from 1 species